AUGAGGCUUGGGAGUCUGACUCAGAAAAUAAGCAGCUCUGUGUCAGAGAAUGAGGAAGCUGGUGUCGAGGAAGAGAUUUGUGAUGAGGCCAGAUCAGUGUUUGUGCUCCUCACCUUCGUCUGUUACCUGCCUCCAGCUGACUGGAUACGGGGGACUGGAUGGAGCACGUUGGCGGGAGAAUCACUGGUGAAUCUGAAGCAAGCGGAGGCAGCUUCAGUAAGACGCGCCAUUGCCGCCUCUCAGGAAACCAUUCAAGAGGGCGGAACCUGCAAGUGUUUGCCAAGAGAAAGAUUUUACAUACCCUUUUAAAAUAGACUUCAUGAGGAGCUGAGAUUUCACAAUGCAGAAGGGGAAAAAAGAAGGUGGGGCGUAUACAUUAGAAUCUGGUAUGCUGUGUACUACGUGCCUUCAAAAGUCAAAUAGAACUUCUCUCUGUCCAAAAAAUACAAAAGUAAAAUAAAAUAGACUUCCUGAGGGAUGUCAGAAAGGUACAUUGCCUCUUUAAAUGAUGUAUGAAUAGUUCAUUUAUUUUUAAAAAUAAUCACAUAUGUGUUUAUAUAAAUUAUACAUGCAAACAUAUGCUCAGCAGUUCUCCUCAUGGAAAGGCUGUUGCUUAUCCAAUUUGGUGCUGACACUGUCUUUCCAUGGUCCUCUCUCUAGCAACAGGAUUCUGCUGUCCGCCCCCCACCCCCACCCCCGUGUAAGAGCCUGCAUAUAGAGCUCCUUCUGCACGACGCCAAGCACUUACUUUUAUACUUUUCUUACCACUGAUGCUGGGUAAGAAAUAAAAUCCAGAGACUUCACUAUCUAUAAUUAAGACUUUUGCUGCCACCAUGAUAUAAAGAUUGGGA
rnacentral:lncRNA from 1 species